UGGAGUUUUAAAUUGGAUGGUCCCAUGGAGUCCUCUACCCACGCCUUUUUACAUUUAUUUUCCAGGAACCUCAUUAGGUGGUUUGGGAUGCCUUCUGCUUGUGUUACAGAUUUUCCAAAAGACUUGCUGCACAUCCUAUGAUAAAUAUAAUUACUUCCCCAUGAGUCGUGAUGAUCUCGUACACUACAUUUGCACGCGCCUGUCCGUGUUUGCAUGAAAAAUAGCAUGGCCGUAUUAAGGAACGCUGAUCUGGCUGCAAAGCCCCGUCUGUUGGAUUUUCUCCGGGGUGGUUCUCCUGCCUUCUGGCCGGUGAAUAAAUACCGUUUGGACAGGGCCUGGCACAGAGACCUUAACCGUAAAGCUUAAUGUAUAACUAGUAUGUUUUUCUUCUGUGUCAGCAGUUGGAAACACGAUCCUGUAAAUAAGGAUUCGAAACCUUGAAGACCGGGGAAGUGUGUACUCCAUCUCCGUCCCGCCUGCCACUCCAGUGGGAACUCUGAAACUACCGUUCUACUCCAGCCUCAGGAGAAAGGAGGGAGUUUGGGAUCGAGAAGACGGAGCAGGACUCGACACCACACGGUUCCCUUUCGCUCUGUGCACGUGUGUGCGCUUUUCGUGUGUCCAAAAGACGGAGAGGAGAAGCCAAAAGGGGAAAACAGGCAAUCAGAUCGGAAACAGAGUAUGAGUUUGUAUUCACAAAAUAAACUUUUAUUCCUCUACCCGGGACGCUGCCCCAAUUUCCGGCCACUAACCUCAGUGGCCGUACUGACCCACUUUUGGCUAUUUUUAUUUGUUCCUUGAAAAUGUUCCCUGUGUGAUUAAAGUUUACUCUUGUCAA